GCUCCCACUUUGUUUCUUCCUUGUGUGUAGUAGUAUUUUGUUGCUCUUCUUCUCUCAUUUACACCGUGUUUUUUCCUUCCUAUUUCAUGUUAGUUUCUUAUUUUGCUCGAUAUAAUUUUUAUGCUAAUUGUUGAUGAUGAAUAUUUGCCCUCUCUAUCACUUAUAUUCUCUUGCUCGACUCUUCUUCUUCUGAAAUGGCAAUGGUGAAGAAAAAGGCACAAUAAUCUCUGUGUGAUUUGGCAAGCAAGUUCUUCUAAUUUCUUCUGCUUUCCAAGUAUGAGUUAUAUACAUUGCUGUUGUGACAAAUUGUUCGAUGAUAUGACGGACCCGAGAACCACUACAACUUGAUUUCGGCGUUUCCGGUUCUCUACAACAUAUUGAUCUAUCUUUCAGCAAUUUCAGAGGUGAGAUGUGCUUUUCAGUUGUAAAUUAAGUCAUGCAAUGAUGAAUUGUCAUCUGUUAGUAUACAAUGUCAAUCAUCAAGAUGGUAACUUUUACCCACGAACCAAUCUUGGACUAUAUUAUGAAGGUGAGCUAUAAUGUCUAUGUAAUUUGGCAACUUUCUAUUUCCAUCUGUUAGGACUGAUCUAUUUUUAGGGUGUGUUUCAUUUUCAGUCUCUUGGUCUAGAUUGUUGCUUUGCCCCUUCAAUGGGAAGAUCAGUUGAGGUUACUACAGGUCCAGGAAUGAGCCACACCUUAAUUAACUUAACUGAAAGUGAUAGACUAGGUAUACUAUCUGAAGUAAGUGCUGCCUUCCCCAAUCUUAGAUGCAAUAUGGUGAAUGCUGAAGUGUCGAACUUUAACACCUGAGUAGAAGCUAUAUCGCAAGUUACUGAUGAGAAAAAUGGGGUUACAAUUUUGGACCCUGAAAAGUUGUUUAUGAUCUAGCAACUUUUUUGCACUGUUCUUAGAAGUAGUAAAAAUCAAGAGAUGUCAUACUUUGCUAUAUCAUGGGGCCACCCAGACUGAGAGAAGGCUUAACCAGUAGAUGUUUGUAGACGCGGACUAUUAACAUGCGAUAAGUGAAAAUCAGACAUGAAGAAAGGCCAAAUAUGUUGUUAAUUGGCACGACAAUGACUACUCAGUAGUGAUAAUUCGGUGCAAGAGUAGCCUAAAACUUCUAUUUUGUAUGAUCAAUACUUUGGGAGUUAUGCAGCAUGUUGGUUUUCCAUAGUAAUGUCGAUGUUGAAGGACCAAAAGAUUAAGAGGUACUAUAUUUUCUUAUGUAUUUCAGAAAUUUUACAUUGUUUAUAGCUUUACAUCUAACUAGAACUUGUUCUAUACAUAUAUUUGUGGACUCUAUGAUAAUCUUUGUUACGUUCAAGGAAUACUACAUAAGGCAUCUUGAUGAAUCACCUGCAAAAUCAAGAUGCAGGAAGACAAGUAGCCUUUCAAUGUCUUGAAGCAACAAUUGAAAGAAGCGUUUCCAAGAUUAGCACUUUGAUUUACCGUUUUUGACAUAUAGGUAUAAUUUUUCAGCUCUAGCUCGCUCUUUCAAGUAAUUCACUUAAGUAUUGACCAGUAAAUAGAUGCAAUAGGAAAAAGGAGAAGAGGGGGCAAAAAGAGGAUGUAAUGCACUGGUUUCAACCUUUUCUUUUUUGUUUUGUCUAUUUACAUUAACUUCUGUUCCAGGGGAUUCUUAUUCCUGUUGGAGAUGUUGGUGCACGUUGAAAUCUCUUUCUUCAUGUUUUCUUGGUUAAAUUUGUACAUGGAUGUAGUUAAUUCGUAAAUUUUUUCAAUAGAAGCACACUGAAUGGCCAUCCGGAACAAAAUUGUAAGAAACAAAAAAGGAAGAAUUUUGAUGCAGCAAAUUUGUUUGACGAUAAACUUGAAACAACUGAACAAAUAUUUUAUCCAAUUUUACCAGUUGUUCCACAAAAUAACCAUUUAUCAUGCAGAAACUCCAAAGAUAAUUAAAUGGGAGCUGACUUGACAAGAGGACCCAUGAAGAAAUAAGAUAGCCAUACAUGGCUUUAGUGAGAUGAACACCAUGCCAGUUAACGUGUUGAGAAGGUCAGGACAAGAGCUUGCAGAAGGAGAACCCAUGUGUUGAAUCCGUCAAAGUCAAUAUUUGCUCCAUGUUGGUUUCAAUUCUGCGUUUUAUACGGAGUUAUUUUGGAAGAAAGGGCACUUGUUUCAUCAAGUUGACAGCUUGGUCAAGUGAAGAAGAUUGGAGAAAAAGAGUUUGGACGAAACGGGAUUUGAAUUUGGACUAGCGUAAAGGGCGAAAAAGUUAUUUCGGAAGAUAGAGCCUUUGUUUCAUCCAUUUAACAAGUUGGUCAAGUGAAGAAGAUAGGAGAAAAAGACUAGGCCCAAGGCAUCGUUGCUUAGAGCACUGCGAAUGCGAGGGCUUAUCGGUCAACACAAUACCGUGAUUGCAAUCCCGAAUCUAUGUUAGCGGAAGCCAAAUGUCGAAUCAAUUUUUGUUGUUGGCUUUAGUGUAUACAUGUAAAAGAUUUGUGUUGUUGGCUUCAAACUUUGUUGUCUAUUGUCAUUUCAAGAGUAAUCACACUCGUCUCUUUGUUUGCUCAUGCAACUUCUGAUUAUUAUUUAUUUCUUUCUUUCUUGCUUUUUUUUUUUUUUUUUUUUUUUUUGUCUUAGAUGUCCACUAAUUUGUAUGAAAAUAAAAAGGAACCCCCAACAUUUUGCCUAGUCAAUUGGUUUGAUCAAACAAGGGUCAAUUACAAAAAGAAUUGCUAAGUUGCCCAAUUCCAAUAGAAAUUUAGGCCAUCCCAUAUUAUUAUAAUUGAUCGCUUUGAUGUGAUCAUAUA